rnacentral:rRNA from 1 species
GAUGAACGCUGGCGGCGUGCCUAACGCAUGCAGGUCGAACGGAGUCCAGCCUUUAAGACCUUCGGGUCAAAGAGGGGAAGACUGAGUGGCGGACGGGUGAGUAACACGUGGGCAACCUGGCUCAUAGAGGGGGAUAACAGAGAGAAAUUUCUGCUAAUACCGCAUAAGCACACACUGCCGCAUGGCAGAGGGUGAAAAGAGAAUCGCUAUGAGAUGGACCCGCGUCUGAUUAGCCAGUUGGCAGGGUAAGAGCCUACCAAAGCGACGAUCAGUAGCCGAUCUGAGAGGAUGAACGGCCACAUUGGGACUGAGACACGGCCCAAACUCCUACGGGAGGCAGCAGUGGGGGAUAUUGCACAAUGGGGGGAACCCUGAUGCAGCGACGCCGCGUGAGUGAAGAAGUAUUUCGGUAUGUAAAGCUCUAUCAGCAGGGAAGAUAAUGACAGUACCUGAAUAAGAAGCCCCGGCUAACUACGUG